UUUCAAGCUUUUUCUGCCAAGUGAAAACAUAGUGAGAAUACAGCAUUUGGAAACCAGAAACAGCCCUCAACAGAUGCUGAAUCUGUCCGUGCCUUGAUCUUCGACUUCCAGCUUACAUAACUGUGAGAAAUAAGGGUCUAUCUCCAGUCUGUCUCCCCAUUGUGAAGCCCUCCAACAAGUUGCCUUGGUUCAGGGCAACAGGAUCCUACCUGGUGUCUGACUUCUAACAUGGUCUGAGUCCAGUACAUUUUUCAUGGAGCAACAGUUCUAAAACCAAGUCUGAGAACCUCCAGUGACCCCCUGAUAUCAUGGACUCCACUAAUGAAAUCAUUGUAUUUACUUGACCAUCUCCCCAUAAGAAGUCCUUCAGCUGAAUUUGCUUCAAACUCAUCUUGUGCACUGUCCUCAACUUUCUACAGUGGAAAUGGGAUCUUAGAAAUUCUAAAAAUAUUUUCCAUCGUUUUCCACGUUAAGUACCAGUUUAUUUUCUCAAGAUUGUGUGAUUGAUGAAAACCUGGCAUUUUCUUUUAGAAAUGGGUGGGAGUUUUAGGUUAAGGGAGUUGUCAGCUUGCUGAAAGACCUCCUGAGGGCAAGGACAACAUAGGUCUGCGGGCAAGUGCAUCCCCACGGGCACUCAGGAAGGACUGGGGGAAUUGCCCGGGACCAGGGUGUUCUCCGCCUCGGCUCUAAAGUUAACCUGGUGUUCUCUCAAUUCCAGCUGGUCUAAUGUCGUGUUGCUUCAUCUAGAUAUAAAUACAAAGUCCUUUUGAUUUAAUACUUUAAAGAAUCAUGAGCAGCAACACUGAAUAGGAAGGAACUAAGUCCCUCAACACUCAUGCUCCACUUGGAGCAAAUGACAAAGCUUCUGUGACUGGUGGCUUCUGCCUCUUUUCUUCUGGAUGGAUUUUCAAACUUUGUCAGCAAAAGAGAGGUUAAACAGAACAAAUAAAAUCAUUAACUAAGUACGUGAGGGUCACAACCUAUUAUGCGCUUGCCUGUCAAAAAUUAUUUACUCCUUUGGGAUUUGGUCCAGCUGUCUUGAUGGGUUGGCAGGAGACUUCUUGCAAAGAGGUUUCAAAUGGAUUUGGAAUUUAAAUCUAACUUCAAGCAAAGCGGUCAGAGAGACUGCCAGGGUCCAUAGGUAUGGGUGGGUCUGGCCUGAGGUCACCUGUGAGAGCUGGCUGUGAAUUGGAGGCUUGUGGGCUCUCAGUACUCGGAGAAGGGAGCCUGCCCUUCCUUGUAGGCACUGAACAUCCACACCUGAUGAGUGGGCCGUCCCUCCAGCUGCAUUCAUGGCUUAGUCCCUGAGUAGUAGAAAGUUUGUUUGGAAUCUUGGAGACAGAUAAUAGGAGUUUGUGAUGGACUAAAUGGAAUGAAAUGCAGCAAGUAAUCCAUUUGGGGGUGAUCUCCCCUCAAGCCAAAAACCUCAUCAUAAACAAUUUGCAGAGGAUGCGUUGGGAGAGAAUAAUUGAUGAUCACAGCUUGAAUUUUAUAAAAAGUAUUGUCUCCAUUUCCCAUGACAAGAUCAUCAUUAAUUUCCACCAAGCGGGGAGGACUCUGCUCACAAAUCAACUGUGUGACCUCAAGAGACUGAGUUUACACCCUUCUAUUUCCGUGUAUUAGAGCCAAGCGUUUUUCCUACUUGGAAACCCUAACUGCCCUGAACAAACAGCAAUUUUCCCUCACAUGAUCUUCAAGAAUGGUUUACCACAGGACCCUUGGUAAACUAGAGAUGCUUAGCAGUUCCUGUCAUGAUGAGUUUUGUUUUGUUUUUUUGUUUUUUUCGAAAUACAGGAAAUGCACUGGAGUUAACUUUUUCCUGCACCAGACAAAAGCAUAGAAGAUAUAAAAACACUACCUUCCCUUAGCUACAGUAGUAAACAGUGGUUUGGGCUGCUCAGCAUCUGUUCUCCGUAUCUAAUACCUCAAGGCCUUUCCUGUACUGAGUGUGAUUGGUGGGUCUCAGGAACCUCCUGGCCAGGACAGUAGCCACUGGCCACGUGUGACUACUGAGCACUUGAAAUAUAUCUGAGAAACUAAAUUUUUAAUUUAAUUUUAAUUAAUUUCUUCAAGUUUAAAAACUGAUGCUCAAUUCAGUUUUUGAAAACUUAUAAAUGUGUUUGGAACAAUUCAAGAUCUUCUUUUUCAACUAUAAAUUUUAUGAAACCCACAGACAGUUAACUUUUUACAGUUCAAAUAUUUCCAUUGAAAAGUUAGCUUCCAAAUUGAGAUGUGUUGUAAAUGUAAAAUAUACUCUGGAUUUUGGGAGGGAAAGCGCAAAAUAUCUUACUGGUAAUUUUUUAUAUUGAUUACGUGUUGAAAUGAUAUUUGGAUAUA